rnacentral:lncRNA from 12 species
CCAAACACAUCAUAAAUUCUCCUUAUGAAGGUGUCCCUGCCUCUCCCUUGCCUUCCCUGUACCAGGAAAUGCCAUUGUCAUCCUGGCAAUGACAUGGCACCAAGAAAGAGUCCACACAAACAAACCUCACUAUCGAGUCCCCCAUUGGUUUUCUCUUAUAUUAGCCUUCCUACAAUUUGCUGCCCCUAGAAGCUAAAAGUCCCUCUCCUUUGUCUUGUCACUUUUCUUUAAAUCUGUCCUUUUUUUUGUCCAAAUGGCAUAAUAAUCUUCUAGCCUGUUUCUUCGGGGAUUUUCUCUCCGUUCUGUGAAGUCCCUUGCGCCGUGGAGAAGUUUUAUUUUUUUAAUUAUUAUUUUUUUUAUUUUUUAUUUUUUUGGAGAAGUUUUAAUAUCAAAUAAAUGUGUGUGCCUUUUCUAUUGUUAAUCUGUCUGCUGUUGGUUUAUUUCACAGACCCAGCUGGAGAACCUAAGAGGGUACAGGAGAAGUGUCCUCCUCCUCUGCAAUUGUUUAAACAGUUCCAAGAGUCAAAUUGUGAGAAAGAACAGGCAUCAUUGUCCCAGCAGGACUAGGAAUGUGUUGAGAUUCUGACUCGCCAGCUUGGGUCACUUGCCCACCCUGAACCACCCCGAGGCACUGAAAUAUGCCAGAGGACAGAGCCCCAGAGGGCAGCACUGCUCAGAGAGGGGAGCAUGGAUGCUGGGGAGGCAAGCAACAGAUGUCCAGGCAGAAUCUGCACAUUUUCUGACUUCAGUCCAGGUGAAUACAAAUUAAAGCAAAAACCCAACUGCACAACUUUAAGAAAGCUUCAAGUUUGUUCAGCUCUGCCAGUAGGUGGCAGCAGUACAACAUGGAAAGGAUCAAGACAAUAAAUGGAGUGAAGAUGAUAAUGAUGAUGAUGGUGGUGGUUGGUGGUGGUGAUGAUGGUGAUGAUGGUGAUGAUGACCACUGAGGCAUAUAACCUUGGGUUCAUACAUUGUCUUUAUCCCAGUGCAAUUUUACUACGGUUUUCCCAUUUGUUCCCAUAAUAUCCAUGGGAGACAGGGAAGGGAAAGACUGAUUUCCAUGUUGUAAGAUGGGAUUAAUUAAACUCAGAGUUGUUGGGGAACCUACCCACUUGACCUAGCCAGGUAUUAUUAGAGCCGGUCCUGGAAUUUAGGUCUUGGGAUCCAAAUCAGACUUCUUUUCACCAGCGUUCCUUUCCACAAAGCGUUCAUCCUUUUUAAGUACGAACAUAUUAAUCCUUACAAAAUAUGAAGUCAAAUUUACCAAAGAAUUUUAUUUCAUCCAUUAGAUAGAGGGAAGAGGCAGGAGGGAUGCAUGUACAGGGUUAACAUAGAGAUCUGCUCUGCCUAAAAAAGCGGGAGAAAAAUAUUGUGUAAGGGUGACAAUAUCUGUGAGUUCUUUGAGGCCAGAUCACCUAGUUAAAUGAACAUCAGGCAUUUGUAGUUUCAGUAUCUGUUUCUUCCAUGUCAUGUACGGCAUAGAGAGGCUCCUGCGUGACCCUCAU